GCAGUGAGGACUGUCUGGCGGCUGGCUUUUCUUCCCUUCCCUUGGGUCUUGGGCCAUCUCUUUUGAAUAUGCAAUCUUCCAUGUUUGAUCAGGAUUUUCAUCUGACCCUUACAGAUUAUGAAAUCUAGAGCAGGAAACUCUAGAAUUAAUUUUUUGCAGCCCUACACAGAGAGAGAUUGCCCCAGAGAAUCUCAGGCAUCUCUUGGGACAGAGAAGAAACCCUUAAAGCAUCUUUUUGGCAACUGAGAAAAUCUCAGUCCUGUGGCCCCAGGACAUCUUCAGUGGGCUUAAGGUGAGCUGGAGGUAAACCUGAGACUCACUUUUCAACCUGGGACACUAUAUAUAUAUAAAACCUGCUUGGCUGGUGACAGACCGUGUUUCGUGAUUUCCAGAGCCUUUACAGACCUCAGAGAGCUCAGCAAUCAGGUAUUAAAAACUAGUUGCAGUUGUAAAACUGCACUCACGGGGUUGGGGAUUUGGCUCAGUGGUAGAGCGCUUGCCUAGCAAGCACAAGGCCCUGGGUUCGGUCCCCAGCUCCGGAAAAAAAAAAAAAAAAGACUGCACUCACUAGAAAGUUCCUAGGUUUAGCCUGUUCCUUCUUCUGCUUGGCUGCGGACUGGACUCCUGAGUAUGUACAGCUGGUUCUCAAUUUACCAUGGUUUCACCAACAGUCGUGGGCUUACAGGAAUACUAAAUGCCUUUUUUGGACUCAGGUCACUUCAAGGCCAGCCUUGGCUGCAUAGUAAGUUUGAGGUCAGCCUAGACUACAUGAGACCCUGUCUUAAAAAAAAGACAAACAGGACUGAAAAGAUGGCUCUGUGGUUAAGAGCACAGACUGCUCUUCCAGAGGUCAUGGGUUCAAUUCCCAGCAACCACAUGAUGACUCACAACUAUCUGUGAUGGGAUCCGAUGCCCUCUUCUGGUGUGUCUGAAAACAGAUACGGUGUACUCAUAUUCAUAAAUAAAUAAAUAAAUCUUUAAAAAACAAAGUCUGGCAGUGAUGGCAUGUGCCUUUAAUCCCAGCACUUGGAAGUCAAAGGCAAGUGGAUU
ensembl:lncRNA